rnacentral:tRNA from 5 species
GCGGGCAUAGCUCAGUGGUAGAGCGUCUCGUUGCCAACGAGAAGGUCGAGGGUUCGAACCCCUUUGCCCGCUCCA